rnacentral:rRNA from 1 species
GCAAGUCGAACGGGCACUUCGGUGCUAGUGGCAGACGGGUGAGUAACGCGUGGGAACGUACCUUUCGGUUCGGAAUAAUUCAGGGAAACUUGGACUAAUACCGGAUACGCCCUUUUGGGGAAAGAUUUAUCGCCGAUAGAUCGGCCCGCGUCUGAUUAGCUAGUUGGUGAGGUAAUGGCUCACCAAGGCGACGAUCAGUAGCUGGUCUGAGAGGAUGAUC